CGGUUACGCAAAUAUAUUUUCAUAUUUACAAAAGUAAACCCUAAAAAUGAGAGUUGUAUCUGUAAUAGUAUAUAUAGUAAACUCGAUAAUCAACUUUCAUAACACAAUCCUUCAAAUCUUAACUUCAUUAAUUUCUUCUUUUUUUUGGUCAAAAAAAUGGCUGCAAAUCUUCCUAUCACGGAACUUGCUAACGUGAAACCUUUUCAAAACAAUCGUUCACUCAUAGACUCAACACACUCAAUUCACACGAGAGACAAUGAAAAUGAUUCUUGCUACUGUUUCUGCUACUUUGAUUCAUGCUACUAUAAAUAAACAACAGAUGAACAAGCUGCAAAGGUUUAUCAACUCUGGAGAGUGGAGAUUUAUUAAAAAUUUACUCUCUCAAAAUCUAUGGGAAAGUACAGAGCUACCAAACAUGGUUGCAAAAUGUCCCUCAUGAACACUACUAUUAUCACUCGGUGUUCUUCUCUUUCAGAUGAUGUUUUCUUCGAUUUGCAAACUAUCAAGAUAUUUUGAAUGAAUCACGAUUGAAUGCGAAUAUCUUUAUAGGUUUUUUUAUGUUUAGUUAUAGCUUUAUCUUGCAUAUAAUUUUUUUUCCUUA